CCCGCUGAAUUUAAGCAUAAAACUAAGCGGAGGAGAAGAAACUAACGAGGAUUCCUCGAGUAACGGCGAGUGAAUGGGAA
rnacentral:ncRNA from 1 species